rnacentral:rRNA from 1 species
GUGAUAGGUAUCCCACCUGGGGAGUACGUUCGCAAGAAUGAAACUCAAAGGAAUUGACGGGGGCCCGCACAAGCGGUGGAGCAUGUGGUUUAAUUGGAUGAUACGCGAGGAACCUUACCAGGCCUUAAAUGCAGGCUGCAUAGGCUAGAGAUAGCUUUUUCUUCGGACUNCCUGCAAGGUGCUGCAUGGUUGUCGUCAGCUGUGCCGUGAGGUGUCAGGUUAAGUCCUAUAACGAGCGCAACCCCUACCGUUAGUUGCCACCAUGUCAAGAUGGGACUCUAACGGGACUGCCGGUGCAAACCGCGAGGAAGUGGGGACGACGUCAAAUCAUCACGGCCCUUACGUCCUGGGCUACACACGUCCUACAAUGCCCGGUACAGAGGGAANCCACCCCNNGAGGGGCNNCGGAUCUGCAAAACCGGUCACAGUUCGGAUCGGGGUCUGCAACUNGACCCCGUGAAGCUGGAAUCGCUAGUAAUCGGAUAUCAGCCAUGAUCCGGUGAAUANGUUCCCGGCCCUUUACACACCGCCCGUCAAGCCAUGGAAGCCGGGAGUCCCUGAAUCCUCACCC